UACGUAGGGGGCAAGCGUUGUCCGGAUUUAUUGGGCGUAAAAGGCUUGUAGGUGGCCACGCCAAGUCGGAUGUGAAAUCUCCCGGCUCAACUGGGAGGGGUCAUUCGAUACUGGCGGGCUCGAGGCCGGUAGGGGGAAGUGGAAUUCCCGGUGUAGUGGUGGAAUGCGUAGAUAUCGGGAGGAACACCAGUGGCGAAGGCGGCUUCCUGGACCGGUUCUGACACUGAGGAGCGAAAGCGUGGGGGGCGAUCCGG
rnacentral:rRNA from 1 species